GUGCACUGUGGGGCCGGCACUGCCGAGCGGGACGCUCCUCGCCGCCUGGCGAGGUGGGGAGAGGCUAUGAGGCCUGUGGCCACCCGUCCGCCGGGGUCCUGACACCCGGGACGGCCGGCGGCGAGAGGGGCGCUCGCCGGGGUGGCCGUGCUCUCUGUUCGCCUGCUGGGCUCGCCCCCGGGCCGUGGUUCUCAGCAGUGCUCUGGACUGCGGCCUGCCCUCAACAGAUUGGAUAUAACCAUCCACAUUGGAGAGGACCAUCUGCUUUAUUCAGCCUACCAAUUCAAAGACUAAUCUCUUCUGGGAACACCCUGACAGAUGAAUUCAGAAAUAAUUUUUAACCAGCUACCUGGGCAUUUUGUAGCCUAGUCAAGUUGACACAUAAAAUUAACCACCUUUGCAGCCAGGGUGGUGGACUUUCAUCUUCACGUGGCUGUAAUAAGGUGGGGUCUUCAUUCUUGUGUUUGUGUGAUGUCACAGGAGGCCUGAAAAAAAAAAAAAAGAUUUAAAUAAGAUCCAGAGUCUCAUAACACGAUACUCAAAAUGUCCAGGGUACAUUUGAGAAUCAUUCAUCAGACCAAGACUGUCUCAAUGAGUAAGCUAGAAGACAGUGGGCAGAUGCAUUCUAAGUGCUCAAAGAAAAAGAAUCUCUCAACCGACAACUCUAUAUCCAGCAAAACUGUCCUUCAGAAGUGAGGAAGAAAUCAAGACAUUACUUGAUAAAAGCUGAGGGAGUUUGUGACCACUAGACCUGCUCUGCAAGAAAUGCUUAAGGGAACCCUGCAAAAUGAAAGGACACUGGACAUUAGCCUGAAGCCAUGAGGAGAAAUAAAGAUCUCAGUAAAAAUAAACACAUGAACAGUUAUAAAAGCUAGGAUUAUUGUAAUAGCUUGUAACUGUGCUUUUUCUUUUUUAUGGAAUUUAUGAUACUAAUGCAUUUAAAUAAAAAAUGCUAAUGUAAUUAUUACUGUAACUUUGCUUUGUAACUCCAAAUCUUAUUUUGUACAUAAUUUAGGAGACUAAUGCAUUUAAUAUACUAACUUAUGUUUUGGAGCAUACAAUGUAUAAAGAUGUGGUUUUGUGACAUCAACAACCAAAAAGUUUAGGGACAGUGUGAAGGAGCAGCUUUUUUUUGUGUAUUAUUGAAGUUAAGGUGCUAUAAAUUCAAAUUAGAGUUUGACAGCUUUAGGAUAUUAAGUGUGAGUCCCCAUGGCAACCACAAAGAAACUAGCUAUAGAAUAUAUACAAAAGGAAAGUAAGAAGGAGCUUAAACAUUUUGCUAC